ensembl:rRNA 5S_rRNA 5S ribosomal RNA
GUCUAUGGCCAUACCACCCUGAGCACACACGAGCUCGUCUGCAGGGUUGGGCCUGGUUAGUACUUGGGUGGGAAAACAGCAAGAGAUCCUGGUAGAUGGCU